CACGUAGGGCGCAAGCGUUGUCCGGAAUUAUUGGGCGUAAAGAGCUCGUAGGCGGCUUGUCACGUCGGGUGUGAAAGCCCGGGGCUUAACCCCGGGUCUGCAUCCGAUACGGGCAGGCUAGAGUGUGGUAGGGGAGAUCGGAAUUCCUGGUGUAGCGGUGAAAUGCGCAGAUAUCAGGAGGAACACCGGUGGCGAAGGCGGAUCUCUGGGCCAUUACUGACGCUGAGGAGCGAAAGCGUGGGGAGCGAACAGG
rnacentral:rRNA from 1 species